AGAGCAAUUGUUGGAUCACAUAGUUAAGCAUAUGUUUGGCUUUUAAAGAAAUUGUCAAACUGUCUUCCCUAGUUCACUGCACUGUUUUGCAUUCCCAAAAGCAAU
rnacentral:pre_miRNA from 1 species